ACUCCUACGGGAGGCAGCAGUGGGGAAUUUUGGACAAUGGGCGAAAGCCUGAUCCAGCAAUGCCGCGUGUGUGAAGAAGGCCUUCGGGUUGUAAAGCACUUUUGUCCGGAAAGAAAUCCUUGGCUCUAAUACAGUCGGGGGAUGACGGUACCGGAAGAAUAAGCACCGGCUAACUCCGUGCCAGCAGCCGCGGUAAUACGUAGGGUGCGAGCGUUAAUCGGAAUUACUGGGCGUAAAGCGUGCGCAGGCGGUUUGCUAAGACCGAUGUGAAAUCCCCGGGCUCAACCUGGGAACUGCAUGGGUGACUGGCAGGCUAGAGUAGGGCAGAGGGGGGUAGAAUUCCACGUGUAGCAGUGAAAUGCGUAGAGAUGUGGAGGAAUACCGAUGGCGAAGGCAGCCCCCUGGGCCAAUACUGACGCUCAUGCACGAAAGCGUGGGGAGCAAACAGGAUUAGAAACCCUAGUAGUCCC
rnacentral:rRNA from 1 species